UCCUCAGAGAGUUGAGACGAGGAGCAUCAGUUGAACAUGUGUGUCACAGAAUCCACAGGACAUUAGCUAGCCAGUUCAAGUACGCACUUGUCUGGG